rnacentral:rRNA from 1 species
GACGAACGCUGGCGGCGUGCUUAACACAUGCAAGUCGAACGGAAAGGCCCUGCUUUUGUGGGGUGCUCGAGUGGCGAACGGGUGAGUAACACGUGAGUAACCUGCCCUUGACUUUGGGAUAACUUCAGGAAACUGGGGCUAAUACCGGAUAGGAGCUCCUGCUGCAUGGUGGGGGUUGGAAAGUUUCGGCGGUUGGGGAUGGACGCGCGGCUUAUCAGCUUGUUGGUGGGGUAGUGGCUUACCAAGGCUUUGACGGGUAGCCGGCCUGAGAGGGUGACCGGCCACAUUGGGACUACGGGACGGACCAGAGUCCUACGGGAGGCAGCAGUGGGGAAUAUUGCACAAUGGGCGGAAGCCUGAUGCAGCAACGCCGCGUGCGGGAUGACGGCCUUCGGGUUGUAAACCGCUUUCGCCUGUGACGAAGCGUGAGUGACGGUAAUGGGUAAAGAAGCACCGGCUAACUACGUG